CUAAAACCUGCAGGACACCGGCCCUCAAGGCCUGGAGUUCAACACCUGUGCUGUAUACCAACCCAGAACAUUUCAUUUGACCAGAUUCCAUUAAAUUGACAUGGAAACCAGAGACCAUAAAAAGUAGACGAUAUCUGGCAACUUCAAGCAACUGCUGACGAUGUGAAGUGGCGAGACACGAGUGACUGAAGUGACUACCAAUGAGGGAGCCUGGAAUGCCCACAAGUGACGAGCUGUGAGAGACGAGCUUCAAAGUGAUGCAGAAUCAGCGACUUGCGUCCAGUGUAGACACAGCUUUCCCAGAUCUAGAAGCUACAUCCAUCUUUUAAACACAGUCCUUCUAUAGACUGUAUACAACUGUAAAUAAACACAUUAAAACGUACAGAAGAAUCAAACUAUAUUCAUAAAAAACAGGCUUACACAGAACAGAUCAAUGAAAUGUUUUCAUGGUGUUUGAAAUAUUGUACUGUAAUUCUUACUGAAUCAAUCGCUGACAAAAAGAUGACAAGCACAAGAUUAUUUUAUUUGUCUCAAAAGUUGGUGCGUUACAGCAUUAAAAAGAACAUGUAAAAAAGCAGCUUUGAUAAUAUACGUGAGAUGGAAAGUAGAAUUUCAGCAAAUAAAGGAGCUCACUAAGUAAAACCCUAAAAAAUGCAGUUUAAAGUAAAAGUAGAAUUCAGUAAAAUCCUGUAUAAAA